GAUGAACGCUGGCGGCGUGCCUAAUACAUGCAAGUCGAGCGAACGGACGAGAAGCUUGCUUCUCUGAUGUUAGCGGCGGACGGGUGAGUAACACGUGGAUAACCUACCUAUAAGACUGGGAUAACUUCGGGAAACCGGAGCUAAUACCGGAUAAUAUUUUGAACCGCAUGGUUCAAAAGUGAAAGACGGUCUUGCUGUCACUUAUAGAUGGAUCCGCGCUGCAUUAGCUAGUUGGUAAGGUAACGGCUUACCAAGGCAACGAUGCAUAGCCGACCUGAGAGGGUGAUCGGCCACACUGGAACUGAGACACGGUCCAGACUCCUACGGGAGGCAGCAGUAGGGAAUCUUCCGCAAUGGGCGAAAGCCUGACGGAGCAACGCCGCGUGAGUGAUGAAGGUCUUCGGAUCGUAAAACUCUGUUAUUAGGGAAGAACAUAUGUGUAAGUAACUGUUCACAUCUUGACGGUACCUAAUCAGAAAGCCACGGCUAACUACGUG
rnacentral:rRNA from 1 species